rnacentral:misc_RNA from 1 species
GUUUGUAUUAUGUCGUCUUGCUGAGUUGGGAAAAUUAGCAGUGUACUAUUACUUAUUUAUGCAUGUGUGCUAAACACUUUCAUCUAAGAAUCUAUAUGCAUGCAUAUAAACUUGAUGUGUAUUUCCUGAAACAUGUAUUCCCCUCCUUUUCUAGAGGUAGUUGUCAAAAGUAAUUUUUAAUUGAAGGAGAAAUUGACUGGUGUGAAUUAAUUAUCAGUAACAUGCUAAUUGCCGUAAGUGAUGGCCUUGGACACAUAAACUUCUGUCAAGUCUGGUCCAAUUUGCCACCUUCUACUAAAUGCAAGACGGAGAUGCAGAAAUAGUUCUUUUGGCUUGUAGGUGUGUUUUGUGUCAGAAUGAGGAGAGAAGUGUUUGAUUAUUUACUUGUGCAUUGUCAGGUUGCUUUUGAAUUGUGGAUUUUGAUGUUUACUUUUUUGGUUGCCUCCUAGGA